AAAGCCCAGCCCGACCUGAACCCA
rnacentral:siRNA from 1 species